UUUAGAUGUGUGUAUUAAUAUGUAUUGCAAGAAACAGGUAGGUUUUUUCUCUCUAAUAUUUUACAAAGUUAAAACUACACAAGUUAAUUAAUUUAGGAAUUUUGAACGAUGUUUCUAUAAAACUGGUUUUUUAAACAUCGAAUAGCUAUGGGGAUCCACCAGAAUAAAACAGUAAUCAAAGGGGACGAUCCAUAGAUAGAAAAUGGU